rnacentral:rRNA from 1 species
UCCGGAGGGCGCAAGCGUUAUCCGGAUUCACUGGGUUUAAAGGGUGCGUAGGCGGUCAGGUAAGUCAGCGGUGAAAUCUCUGGGCUUAACCCAGAAACUGCCGUUGAUACUAUUUGUCUUGAAUAUCCUGGAGGUAGGCGGAAUAUGUCAUGUAGCGGUGAAAUGCUUAGAUAUGACAUAGAACACCAAUUGCGAAGGCAGCUUACUACACAAAUAUUGACGCUGAGGCGCGAAAGCGUGGGGAUCAAACAGG